rnacentral:rRNA from 1 species
UACGUAGGGGGCGAGCGUUGUCCGGAUUUAUUGGGCGUAAAGAGCGUGUAGGCGGCCAGGUAGGUCCGUUGUGAAAACUCGAGGCUCAACCUCGAGACGUCGAUGGAAACCAUCUGGCUAGAGUCCGGAAGAGGAGAGUGGAAUUCCGUGGUGUAGCGGUGAAAUGCGCAGAUAUCAGGAAGAACACCUAUGGCGAAGGCAGCUCUCUGGGACGGUACUGACGCUGAGACGCGAAAGCGUGGGGAGCGAACAGG